GGAAUAAGGAGAGGGCAAGUCUGGUGUCAGCCGCCGCGGUAAAACCAGCUCUCCGAGUGGUAGGGAUGAUUAUUGGGCUUAAAGCGUCCGUAGCCAGCCUAACAAGUCUCUCGUCAAAUCCAACGAUCCAAUCGUUGGACCGCGGGAGAUACUGUCAGGCUAGGAGGCGGGAGAGGCCGACGGUACUCUUGGGGUAGGGGUGAAAUCCUAUAAUCCCAGGAGGACCACCAGUGGCGAAGGCUGUCGGCUGGCACGUGCUCGACGGUGAGGGACGAAAGCUUGGGUAGCAAACCGGAUUAGAUACCCGGGUAGUCCAAGCUGUAAACGAUGCGGGCUAGGUGUUGGGGUGGCUACGGGCCACUUCAGUGCCGCAGUGAAGGCGUUAAGCCCGCCACCUGGGGAGUACGGCCGCAAGGCUGAAACUUAAAGGAAUUGGCGGGGGAGCACCACAAGGGGUGAAGCUUGCGGUUUAAUUGGAGUCAACGCCGGGAACCUUACCGGGGGCGACAGCAGUAUGAUAGCCAGAUUAACGGUCUUGCUUGACGAGCUGAGAGGAGGUGCAUGGCCGUCGCCAGUUCGUGCCGUGAGGU
rnacentral:rRNA from 1 species